ensembl:lncRNA
UAUGUAUCCUAACUGGCAUUGUUUCAGAGCUCACUUCUGACCUUUAAUCUUUGGAAAGGGAGCCAAUACCUCUCUAGCUUAGUGGGUUUCUGUCUCUUGGCAAUUACUUCCUAUAUUGCCUUUCUCCCUUUCUAGUGACGAGCAUACUAAUGCCUGGGAUUGUUCAGGAUUCCUGUGCGGCCCCCCUGAACUCUCCAUCUCCUCCUGACCCCAGCUUGUUCUAUGUAAAAGAGAGAGAUGGUGGGAUAAAGCGUGGAACCCAGAGUGCCUUUCCAGCAAGAAACGUGUUUCCAGGCUUUCUUGGCCUCUUGGCUGAGAGACCUGUUUGUUUUUAUUACUAAAACUCCAUAUUCAUAAGAAAAAUAGAACAGCAACAGCAAUAAUAAUAAUGCACUGUCACACUGUGCUCAGCCACCUCUUUGUUUCCUGAUAUCGAGGAGCAAAAUGCACCCUCUCCCCUGGGCCCCCUUCUCCCACGGAGGUGAAUGAGCUUUAAAAUCCCUUUGACUCUGAAUGAGCAGCAGAAUGGAUGGGGCCUUCAUUGAAAAUGGGGAGGCUGAGCCAGUUUGCUCCCCCUCCAGCAUCCUCCUGAGCCCAGUGGCUGACCUUGUGGCUCUGCAACUGGCCUGCUAGUUAAAUGUGACCACUGAACAGCCACUUGACAGGAUUUCCAGCUUAUUAAAAAUGGAGGGUGGCCACCAGGGAUUUGAGCAUAAAGGUAAUAAAAGAGAACCUAAUAAAAACUUUUAAAACGUGCACAUGCACAUUCUGAGGGAGCGCAAUCUUAACCCCCACUCACCCCAGAAGAAUAAGAUUUGAAGACCAGGGCUGAAGAAAUGAAGCAAGAGCUACAGACCACAAGUGGAGGACACUUUCCAACCCUAAGUUUUUUUUUGCCUCCAAAAUUGCUUUCUAAAUGAUGGAGCCAUGAUGCUGAUUAUGUUGUUUAUAUCUAACUUACAUUUUAUGUAUUUCAAGAUGUAGGCAGAGUAAAAGAAUGCAAACAUUCAGACAAAGCCAUGCCUUCUGAUUUUAAUGAAUGAAGUUUGUGGCACAUGUAGGAAAAUCAGCGUGUCAGCUUCUGUAACCUUGGACAACACAGGUCUUAUGGCCAGGUACAAUUUAUCUGUCAUUGUCCUCACCUGCCAAUGAAUAAAAAUAUACAAAAAUACAUUUUUCCGAAAACCUCGUGACACUGUCAUCUUGCUUCUACUCCAUAGUUUCUUCUUAGAUAACCUUAAAAGGGAUCUGGUUUUCAACGUAAUGAUCAAAAUAUGUAGAUGUCCCCCAAUUUUAUUAUGUAAGUGACUCUUUCUUGCUGCCUAUCAUUCAGCUUUCUUUUAUCCACGAUCACAUUUUCCUCCGGAAGAGAAAUACUGCUUCCCCUCCCAUGCGGCACUUAGAGACUGUUGGUGCCAUUAUUUAUUAAACUCUGUUUCUGAAGGAGAGUUAGAAAGAGGUCAACACAGGGAAUAUUGAGUUACCCUUGGACUGGCCAGUGGUGACUGGUAGCUUCAGCAGAACAGCAGGGAGUCAGAUUCUAGAAGCCAGAUUUUUUUAUAAGGCAGCUGAGUGUGGUAGAGAGAAUGAGAGCCGCAGGCAGUUCUUCUUCUGCUAAUAACUGUUUCACUUUAGAGAAGACCCCUUGUGCCUUUAUAUCCUGUCUCUUCAUCCGGGACAUGGGGGUGUGUGAGGUAGGGAUAGAUCAUCUCUAGGUCCUGGGCUUUGUCACUGAUCACUUGACUGUAGAAUCAGAAAAAUCUGAAAGGCCCUUCCAGGUUUGUCUAGCUUGCUGCCUUGUGUUAUAGCAGUGCUGUACCAGCUGUGCUCCAGGUAAAAGUUGACCUGGUGUAACUCAAGAUUAAAUGAUAGCUCUUUUAGGGAGUGCUUUUUAUGUGGGCAUCUAACAUAUAUAAUGGAAAGAAAGAUCUCCACUUUUUUUUCUGCUCAGAGGAUGGGGAACAGGAUGUUGGACCCUUGUAAGUCCUACCCUAUAAAAGGUUAGGGUUGUGUGGAGGUUUGUUCACUAUGAUAUUGCAAAUGCCAAGCAAGGUGUCUAUAGGAAGUGGAUAAAUAUCUGUUGAAGGAAUGCAUGCAUGCAUGAAUGAAUGAAUGAAACAUUCAUAGGGUGUGGCUAAGGAUUUUUAAGACAUUCUGGCUUCCCAGUGGGUCAGUUUCUGAUCCCAGGAAAGCCCAAUGGGACAUAAUUUGUAAAUGAGUCUGCCUGCAUUGUGAAUUAAGGCUGAGUUAGGAAAAUAUUUUUCUUCUUCGCCAUUGGCUUGGAGUGUUACAAUUUUUGAGAAUGAAUGUUGUCUCUUAGGUGUGUGUGUAUGUGUGUGUUUAAGACAGACAGAAACAAAGACAGAUCCAAAAGCUACCUGCUGACAACAGGGAUAGGUGUCUCUUCAGCUUAUGUCUUGAAGGGCAACCCAUACCUAUGCUGUGUUCUGCAGCAGGGCUGGAGUGUCAACGCCCUGACACAUGUCUUGGGACAUGAAAUGCCAAAGGCCAUCGUGAUCUAGUAUCUUGAAGGCGCCUGGUUCCUCAUCCAGACUGAACAUCUCAGACCCAGGAUGUUCUCCUGAAGACAAGGGGGAGCCCGUGGGUAGACAGUGGGGUUUCUCAAAUGGUGAGCAGGGAGGAGAACAGGUUAGAAGGAAGUUGCUUUUAUUUUAUUUAUUUUUUAUUUUUUUUUAUUUUCCCACUGUACAGCAAGGGGGUCAGGUUAUCCUUACAUGUAUACAUUACAAUUACAGUUUUUCCCCCACCCUUUCUUCUGUUAGGAAGUUGCUUUUAAAGACAUGGGGACAUGGGAGUAAAGUCAGGAUCUAGGAUUGCCUGAGAUGGCCACCAUGGAUGUUGAACUUCUUGGGUAUUCUGGAAUAUGAGAUAACUUAUGUCAAGUGCAAGGUUUAAAAUCUUUCUUCUCUAGUGAAAUUUCUCUUAAUUAUGCUAAUCUUUCAGGAGAUUCUGACAUUCCCACUUCUGCUGAAAAUGGAGAUUAGAAACAGAUUAGGAAAGAAUAUAACGCUGUGUUUUUAUUAGAGAGAACAGUCUUAUUUAUUUGUUUACUUACUCACCAAAGAAGUAGAAUCCUACAAACUAUAACCUUUGGUGCUUAAGAAGGUCCUGGGAGGCCCAAAUGUACGCAGCUGAAUCACGGUGCCCAAAGCCCACCUGGGUUGGCUGUCAUUAUGAUCACAUUACUCUUUUAAGAUCAAUGCCUAUAAAUGAGUUUCACCCAAAUUUUGGGCACUUACUGUUUUCAUCAUAUAAUCGACGGUAUGGAUGUAGAAAAAGCAGCUGCGGCUCCUUUAAGGACUAUGUGAGCUCAAGCACUUACUAUAUAACUCAAGGACCAUUAUUUGCCCAGACAAUCCUGCAUGCCUCUUUGGCUAUAAUUGGUUAUUGAAUUGGACCAGAAUGAUCAACAAAAGCAGUCCAGAAAGGAUGUUGCCUGAGCUGCCCGGCUGCUGCUCCUUACGCAUGGAUCGUGACGAUCUGGAGAGGAGAAGCUGCCAGUCUAGAAAACUCUGCUCUUGCCUGCUAAACCAAGGAACACAUAGUGCUGACAGCUUUGAAUCGCCUUGCAGGCAUGAAAGUAGAAGUUAAGUCAGGCCUGACACUAAAAGCUGCUUUUUCCAGCAGGGAAAGCCCCUCUUGUAUAAUUACUGAAGCCAGAAGUUGUUUAAAUAGGAAAAACUUGUUUGGGUUGUUUCUUGAUUUUUGUCGGUUUGUUGCUGAGAUGGCUUUAUAUUUCUUUGGGAAACAUUUCAGUCCCCUCUUGAUAGCUGAAUUUGAAUACAUUUUUUUCAAAGCGAUGAGUUAAUGCCCCAUGUUGUUUAUAAUUAUAAGAAUCAAUGGCUGCCCUAGGCCCCCAUAAUGCCAGGGGUCCCUUUAUUGAGGAAAAGAAAACAGAAAAUCAAGCCACUUUGCCUGGAGGGCUACCACAGGCUACUGGUUUGAGAGAGGUUUUCACUCUCUAAUGAGUGUAAUAUUAAAAUUAGGUGAGUUCAGGAGGUUUUAUUUUUGAAGUAUUUGAACUAUGUAUAUGGGCAUCUGCAAAUGCCAAUCAUAUGACUUUCGAGGCCACAAUGCAUUGUUUGUGCUCACACAUAUGCUGACAGCAUUUGUUUUAUGCACCUGCUUCUUCUCCAGUCCCAGUUUCCUUCGAUCUUUUGAUUUUGUUUUAAUGUGCAGGCGUUUGCUGAAGUGUAACCACUCAGAGAGCAUCUGGGCUCGCAUGGGUUUUAAAACUGAAUCCACAUUUUAAUGGUUUCUCACCUCUCCAUCUGGAUUAGAAAAAAAAAAAAAAAAAGAAUCCAUCAUAGUAACCAAUAUUAAUAGUUUUUCACAUUCCAAAGUGCUUACAUUUGCUCCUUGGUUAUAAUCCUCAAUUUGGAGUUUGGCUCCCUGCUUUGUCACAGAUUCCCACAGGCCUUACAAUAAUGGUUAACAUUUGCAUAGCACUUUUUAGAGCCUCUUUCAAUCAUUAAUUAAUUCAUUCAUAAGAUGUCUUUUCACGAUUUUCAUUUGAUGCAUUCAUAAGCAAAAUGGGCCAAGCAGAGGUUAAAUGACUGGGCCAGGGCCACCUGGGGAUUUGGUUAAGUCCUUUCAUUCAUUUUUGGGAAUUCCCAGGAAGAAAGAGACAUUUUAAUUCCAGGGAGCAGCAAAAUCUGCAACUUCAGUAUGACCCUAUCAGGUCAGCAAAUGAACUUGGACAAUCUGAGGAGCUAGUUGUUCUGGGGGGAGUGUUAGAUUUUCAAGUAGAAAUGAGAUUGCUGUGACUUCUUAGGGACAUGGUGACCUCCCUGAUCCACACAGGCUCAGGCCAAGCCUUGGAACAGAGCUGAGGUGUCCAAACUUCUCUUGGUGAGAAGCUACUUCUUGAAAUCUAAGAAGUAUUACCCAGGAAGGAACUGGGAUGCUGAUGGUACAGAAGAAGACAGGACAAAAAAGGCUUUGGGGAGUUCCCAUCCUGGCACAGUGGUUAACGAAUCCGACUACCAACCAUGAGGUUGAGGGUUCGAUCCCUGCCCUUGCUCAGUGGGUUAAGGAUCCAGCAUUGCCAUGAGCUGGGGUGUAGGUUGCAGAUACGGCUCGGAUCCUGCGUUGCUGUGGCUCUGGUAUAGGCCAGUGGCUACAGCUCCGAUUAGACCCCUAGCCUGGGAACCUCCAUAUGCCACAGGAGCGGCCCAAGAAAUGGCAAAAAGACAAAAAAUAAAAUAAAAAAAAAAUAAAAAUAAAUAAAUAAACAAUCCAAUUGAAAAAUGGGCAAAAGACAUGAAUAGACAUUUCUCCAAAGAAGACAUAUAGACAGCCAACAGGU